GGGCUCCCCAUUGCGGGCAGUGCAUAUCCUGUGUCAUGGCAAGAAUGUGGACAUGAACAUCAGAAGACUUGGGAUCAAGUCUGCCAUUCAGAUGAAAUUCACAUACUCUAAAACUCGCCAGUUGAAAGUACACAAUUCUGUGAUUCUUGGCGCACUUGCUAUGUGGCAUGACCGUCACUGACAUCUACCUCCAGAAAAUGUCCAGAACCCCAAGAAGAAACCUCACACCUAUUUGUAGUCAAUCCCAGCUCCCCUGUCCGGCUAGUCCCUGCAACGGUGUCUCCUCUCCGCUUCUACGGAUUUGCCUCUUCUGGACAUUUCUCCUAACUGGGACCUCAGCAACGCCUGAUGUCGGAUUCAGCCCUUGUCCACCUUAGAAUUCCGAGGCGGGGAGGCCAUGGAGACAGAAUGCUCCCAGCAAUCGCCCUCCCUUUCCUGAAGUUAUAGUUGUGCACGACGGAGGAAGGACUUGCUCACUCGAUCAGUGUGGCAGGAACGUGCUGGGAGGCGCAGGGGAGAAGGGAGCCAGGGAGAGCAAUUCCACGAGGUUCCUGUUGGUCCACGGACGCCCCUGCCUGACGGUGUGCCGUCUCCAACCCCUGUGUGUUCAUUCAUUUGCCAGAUAUGUAUUCAGUCCACACUGCACUCCAGGAGCUCUCAGGGCUCCAGAGACACAGCGAUGAGCAGAUGCGCAGACAGGUGUCCUUGUGCAGGUCACAGGCCGGUGGGUGCAGGGCGGCAAGGGAAUGAUUGCUCCGCUGGCGUC